UGUGUGUUAGUGGAAGCGUCUGGAAAGGCGCGCGAUACAGGGUGACAGCCCCGUACACAAAAAUGCACAUGCUGUGAGCUCGAUGAGUAGGGCGGGACACGUGGUAUCCUGUCUGAAUAUGGGGGGACCAUCCUCCAAGGCUAAAUACUCCUGACUGACCGAUAGUGAACCAGUACCGUGAGGGAAAGGCGAAAAGAACCCCGGCGAGGGGAGUGAAAAAGAACCUGAAACCGUGUACGUACAAGCAGUGGGAGCACGCUUAGGCGUGUGACUGCGUACCUUUUGUAUAAUGGGUCAGCGACUUAUAUUCUGUAGCAAGGUUAACCGAAUAGGGGAGCCGAAGGGAAACCGAGUCUUAACUGGGCGUUAAGUUGCAGGGUAUAGACCCGAAACCCGGUGAUCUAGCCAUGGGCAGGUUGAAGGUUGGGUAACACUAACUGGAGGACCGAACCGACUAAUGUUGAAAAAUUAGCGGAUGACUUGUGGCUGGGGGUGAAAGGCCAAUCAAACCGGGAGAUAGCUGGUUCUCCCCGAAAGCUAUUUAGGUAGCGCCUCGUGAAUUCAUCUCCGGGGGUAGAGCACUGUUUCGGCAAGGGGGUCAUCCCGACUUACCAACCCGAUGCAAACUGCGAAUACCGGAGAAUGUUAUCACGGGAGACACACGGCGGGUGCUAACGUCCGUCGUGAAGAGGGAAACAACCCAGACCGCCAGCUAAGGUCCCAAAGUCAUGGUUAAGUGGGAAACGAUGUGGGAAGGCCCAGACAGCCAGGAUGUUGGCUUAGAAGCAGCCAUCAUUUAAAGAAAGCGUAAUAGCUCACUGGUCGAGUCGGCCUGCGCGGAAGAUGUAACGGGGCUAAACCAUGCACCGAAGCUGCGGCAGCGACGCUUAUGCGUUGUUGGGUAGGGGAGCGUUCUGUAAGCCUGUGAAGGUGUGCUGUGAGGCAUGCUGGAGGUAUCAGAAGUGCGAAUGCUGACAUAAGUAACGAUAAAGCGGGUGAAAAGCCCGCUCGCCGGAAGACCAAGGGUUCCUGUCCAACGUUAAUCGGGGCAGGGUGAGUCGACCCCUAAGGCGAGGCCGAAAGGCGUAGUCGAUGGGAAACAGGUUAAUAUUCCUGUACUUGGUGUUACUGCGAAGGGGGG
rnacentral:rRNA from 1 species